GGACUACUCGGGUUUCUAAUCCCGUUCGCUCCCCAUGCUGUCGUGUCUGAGCGUCAGGACCGAGCCAGGGCGCCGCCUUCGCCUCUGGGGUUCUUCCGGAUCUCUACGCAUUUCACCACUACACCCGGAAUUCCACGCCCCUCUCUCGGCCUCGAGCUGGUCAGUCUGGCAUAACCUGGCCCGGUUAAGCCGAGCGCUUUCAUACACCACUUGACCAGCAGCCUGCACACCCUUUACGCCCAGUAAAUCCGGAUAACGCUCGCCACCUACGUUUUACCGCGGCUGCUGGCAC
rnacentral:rRNA from 1 species